ACGCUCGACACCUACGUGAGGCAGCGGUGGGGAAUAUUGCACAAUGGGGGAAACCCUGAUGCAGCAACGCCGCGUGAAGGAAGACGGUUUUCGGAUUGUAAACUUCUGUUCUUAGUGAAGAUAGUGACGGUAGCUAAGGAGCAAGCCACGGCUAACUACGUGCUAGCAGCCGCGGUAAUCUGAGCGGGCUGGCAAGGC
rnacentral:rRNA from 1 species